UUAAAUUUUUAAAAAGUUCUA
rnacentral:piRNA from 1 species